rnacentral:rRNA from 1 species
CGCCUAACACAUGCAAGUCGAGUGGGUUUAGACCCACGGCAGACGGCUGCGUAACACGUUGGAACCUUCCCCGAACUCAGGGAUAACCCGCCGAAAGGCGGGCUAAUACCGGAUAGUCCCGAAAGGGUAAAGAUUUUUCGGUUCGGGAGGGGCCUGCGGCCUAUCAGCUAGUUGGUAAGGUAACGGCUUACCAAGGCAAUGACGGGUAGCUGGUUUGAGAGAACGACCAGCCAGAAUGGAACUGAGACACGGCCCAG